AUUGAACGCUGGCGGCAGGCCUAACACAUGCAAGUCGAACGAGUGGCGGACGGGUGAGUAAUGUCUGGGAAACUGCCCGAUGGAGGGGGCUAACUACUGGAAACGGUAGCUAAUACCGCAUACCAUCGGAUGUGCCCAGAUGGGAUUAGCUAGUCGGGGUGGUAAUGGCACACCAAGGCGACGAUCCCUAGCUGGUCUGAGAGGAUGACCAGCCGCACUGGAACUGAGACACGGUCCAGACUCCUACGGGAGGCAGCAGUGGGGAAUAUUGCACAAUGGGCGGAAGCCUGAUGCAGCCAUGCCGCGGGUAUGAAGGAGGCCUUCGGGUUGUAAAGCACUUUCAGCGAGGAGGCGUUACUCGCAGAAGAAGCACCGGCUAACUCCGUGCCAGCAGCCGCGGUAAUUC
rnacentral:rRNA from 1 species